ACUAUCAGCCAUACCACCCUGAACACGCCCGAUCUCGUCUGAUCUCGGAAGCUAAGCAGAGUCGGGCCUGUUUAGUACUUGGAUGGGAGACCGCCUGGGAAUACCAGGUGCUGUAAGUG
ensembl:rRNA 5S_rRNA 5S ribosomal RNA